rnacentral:rRNA from 1 species
UGGGGAAUUUUGGACAAUGGGCGAAAGCCUGAUCCAGCAAUGCCGCGUGUGUGAAGAAGGCCUUCGGGGUUGUAAAGCACUUUUGUCCGGAAAGAAAUCCUUGGCUCUAAUACAGUCGGGGGAUGACGGUACCGGAAGAAUAAGCACCGGCUAACUACGUGCCAGCAGCCGCGGUAAUACGUAGGGUGCAAGCGUUAAUCGGAAUUACUGGGCGUAAAGCGUGCGCAGGCGGUUUGCUAAGACCGAUGUGAAAUCCCCGGGCUCAACCUGGGAACUGCAUUGGUACUGGCAGGCUAGAGUAUGGCAGAGGGGGGUAGAAUUCCACGUGUAGCAGUGAAAUGCGUAGAGAUGUGGAGGAAUACCGAUGGCGAAGGCAGCCCCCUGGGCCAAUACUGACGCUCAUGCACGAAAA